AGGCUACUGGUUUUUAAGAGUCCUGCAGCACAGCAACGGUGAAGAUCAGAAUCCCGUUAUGAUCCUGCACAUCAUGCCGUGCCCAGCCAGACCUUAGGUGACCAGCUGGUUACGGGGAGGCGUGAGGCUUAUCAGACGGCUGAAGCAUCGCAGGCGGUAAGGAGGGAGAGGCCCUUGACAGAUGAUACAUCCACGAACUCCUCACUCCUCGGCGGAGCUCUGGCUGCGUCACUGCUAAAUACAUUAAUUGCAUCGGACAAAUAUAGAUCAAGGCAAUUUUUUCAUCGAAUCAGCUUCCAGAAAGGGUGCAAGCCUUGUAAAAAUAAACAGUCACCCUAGAUAACAUUGCUGUUCAGAUGAAGCGAGAUGGGCAGGUCAACCGCAGCAGCGUCGUUGAGGUCCUGGUCUUUGGUGCCUUCCCAGAGCACUUCAUCUAACUCACUGAUGGUGGAAAACCAGAAGCAGCUGAGCAAGGAGCCCUUCUGAAAUACGUACAAUACAGUUGGACCAUCCUAGAAGUUUCUGUGUGGUCAUCACAACCCUAAGCACUAUUCCAUACGGCAAACUAGAGGUCACAAACCAAUUUGCAACCUGUUACCAUCUACGAAUCCUUCGCAGAGCAUCUUGUUACAUAGAGAACCUCAGCGACUGCGACCCACGAUGGACU